AAAGCACACACUACUGACUACACUACUGUCACUUCUCACAGAUGAUGAAGGAUAGUAACACGAUGACAAGAAGCAACAAUAAAACGAAACUCAGAGUUUCUACUCUGCCUGAUCUAAAGUGAUGAACGCAAAGUGAGCAUGAACAGCAAGGGAAUGAAAAAAAGAGCCAACCAUAAAAGGGGUUUCCACCCUGUUCUUUCACAGUUCCUCUUGAAACACAGGAGUGUAUGUCACUAUGCUAGUAAAGGGGAACCACAUUAACCACAGUUUUACAUCACUUCACAAGCUGACAGGAGAUAGUCUAGCUUUUGAUAGGAAUCCUAAAAGUCUUCAGUUAAGUCUGAAUGAGUCUACAGGCAUGAAAACGAGUGAUUGAUUAUCUUGAAUAUUCGUGAUGUAAAACAACAGGGGAAGAACUUGUGACAGAAAGACACUGGAGAGGGCAUUAAAUAGAACAAAACCAGCGCUUUGAAGCAGAUCCUGAGCAGCUUCACCAACAGAUUGAGAAGGAGGAAGCAGUGAGUUACACCCUGAAGCGAAAACAAUCCAUCAAACCCCCCAGCUUUGGAAACCAACCAUCCUGCUGGUUUGAGAUCUCUCAAAAAAGAAGAUUGAUGACACCAUAAAUGGAGAGAUAUAAGAAAACCCCUGUGCUGUUUCUUCUUCUGGCUCUGCUUUGUGAAUGUGCUGCUGGAAACAAUCUGUGCUUCCAUAACAGUGUCUCAGAUCUCACCUGCUACACUGACUAUAAUUCUACUAUCACUUGUGUGUGGAACAGCACAUAUGUGUCUGAUCAGCCAGACAAUGUGUGCACAAUACAAUCCAAAGGUAUCAACAAGAGUUAUGGAUAUCAUGACAGUUCAUGUAAGCUGGAGCCUGUUGACGUCUCCAGACCAAUGCCAAAGAAGUGCUCCCUGAUCUACAGUAGAGUAAGGAAUGUGAGUCUGAGGAGCUCUCAUGUAACCACACACUGUAAUAUCUCAACUGAGAGAAGAAUGGAAUAGUGGACAUUGAAAGAAUAGUUUAACACUUAGCAAAGCAAAACAUGAUUAUUUGCUUUCUUACUGAGAGUUAGUUGAA